rnacentral:lncRNA from 1 species
CUCACGUGGCGCGCGGCGCGGAGAAGGGGUGCGGACGGGGGUAGAGGCCGUCCUUUGAACCCCGGAGGGUUUGAACAGCACUGGUUUACAGUCCCUGGAGUCUGGCUGACCUGUCCCCAGAGUGCAGGACUGCCUCGGUAAACAGCCCGAGGACUCUGCUUCUCUGGCCUUGAAGGUUUGCGCGUCAUGGUGCACCGCCCCCUUGGUUCCCAGUUUAGGAGUGGGACCCCUACUAUGCGGCAUUCAGUGAGAACACAAGAAUUUAGUGAAUGUCUCUCUUCUCGGUGAUGGUCAACAUGCUGCUGCUAGUCCGUGAUGCAGUGUCUACAGAAGAGUUACGGGUCCACCCUUUCACGGAUGUUACCCUCACCUGCCGUUUCUCCUUCGUGGAGGGCACAGAAAAUCUUGAGUUUUCUUGGGAAAGAGAAGACAUCAAAGAAGAAUAUGGAGUAGAAGAGAAUAAAGUAUAUUACCACUUUCUCAGGUGCUAUGAUUUUUUUGAAUUUUCCCAAGGCUGGUUUACCAGUUUCAUAAUAACACUGAACAACUGGAGGAUCAGAGGAGCUCCUUGGAUGAGGGAAGAGUCUCCGUGGGUUGGGCUGAAAUUUCUGAGGGACUCUAGCACUUUUACUAAGAAGUGUGGAUUUCGUGGCUGA